rnacentral:lncRNA from 13 species
AUGAUCUACGAAACCUCUAACACACAGGUUGUCUACACUGGUGAACAGAAUGGAGAAUUCAGAAAAACUCAUGAUGAUAGAACUGGAAGCAUUGAAUCUUUGCAACAGCACCCUGAAAUAGAUCUCCCCCACCCACCGUCUCCUUUAACAAAUGAGAACACAGAGACUCAAAAGGAUUAAGUGACUUGGCUGAGGUCUCAGAGCAAGUAAGUGGCAGAGCUAUAAUGGGAACCCAGAUCUGCUGGACUCCAAUCCCAUGUUCUUUCAUUGAGCCAUACCUGAUUUUAUAGUCCCAAGAUUCACCUCUAAACACUCCCCUGCUAAACAAAAAAUCCACUAGUGUCAUGGCCAUUCUCAUUUUUCACUUCUUAUACAAAUGUUACAGGCCACAGGCCACCUGAUGGAGCAGAGGGUAAUUGUGGAGAAAUUGGACAAAGGAGGUAAGUUCAGCAAAGGCAGCAGGGGCUGGAUUUAAGGAGUUGGCCUCCAGGCUGUGGUCAGAGCUCAUCCAUCUUUUAUCACCAGCUGGAGAAAUCUUAUGUGGUCUUGUCCCUUCAUUUCUGGGUGGCUUUGGAGACAGAUUGCCCAGAUUCACAUCUCUUCCUGCUAACUGGUUGUAUUGCCUUAGCAAGUGACUCAGUUUCCUCAUGUGUAAAAUGGGGGUUGUAGUGGAUUGCAUGGUGACCCCAAAAAAGAUAUGUCCACAUCCUAAUCCCAGAACCCAUGAAUGUGAACUUAUUUGAAAAAGGGGUUGGUCUUCACAGAUGUAAUUAAAUUGGGGAACUUAGGAUAAGAUCAUCCUGGAUUAACGAAUGGACUCUAAAUCCAAUGACAUGUCAGAAUCAAUUGACCAUAAAAAUAAG